rnacentral:tRNA from 1 species
GGAUGUGUAGCUCAGUGGUUAGAGCGCUGCUCUGAUAAAGCAGAGGUCGGUGGUCCGAUUCCACCCACAUCCACCA